GGUGAGUAAUCUUCACGAUAGUCCCUUCAGUCAGUCAACUACUUAUCACUUGACCGUCCCACUGAGACUGGACUCAUCCGGGAGAAAGUGAAGGAGAAAACUCCAACUUCAUGCAAAGGCAUUGAGGUGGCUACAUCCGUCAUGUCCAUUUGUGAUCUGAGGACAUGUCCACGCUGGAUGGGGAGCGCAAAUCCAUGGGUUCUGGCAGCAUUUAUGAUGGUUCCGAGGGGCAGGACAUAUUUUACUCCCGCACCAUUUGAGAAUUCAUGGCUUCAUAUUGUCCUCAUGCCUAUUCAGGAUGAGGGUGUCACUGGCAAUGCAACAUUUAUUGCCCAUCCUCAAUUGCCCAGAGGCCAGACCAGUGACUCUUCAAACUGGCAGAAGGCAGCAGACAUUGUAUUCUGUAACCCGCAAUAAAGGUAUAAAACUGCAAGCAAGUUGUGAAAGUCCAAAAACUCAAUUUUUGCACAAUUUUCAACAGAAAGCUUGAAUAAAGCACAACUUACUCCCAACUUCCCAGAAAAGUACAAGAUAAUCCAGUCGAUCAAUGGAAAAAGGAACAACCAAUGGUUUAUACUAAAAGAAUAAAGAUUUUUAUUAAGCAUUGUAAGUUGCAUUCAAUAGCCUUCCAGUAUUACACCACACCAUAAUCCAUCAGCAACCGAGCAAACCCAACAGUCGUUCAUUCUUGCACAAUCCAUAUGUAGGUAGAACUCCUUUCAACUUACAGAAAAGGUACUAUGUAGCUGUUGCGGGCAGGGAUUUGGUGGGGGUGGGGGGGGGGGGGGUGUUACAUUUUAUUUCUGUUCACUAAUGUGUGAUGAAGAGCAUCAGGAAAAUUAUAUGAAAUAAUAAUAAAGUAAGGAUUCUGAUUCAAAGUACAUCAGGUUUGAAACACUAACGAAAACAGCAGAAUGAUACAAGUUUACUUGCUUAUACUAAACUCUUGAUGGGAAAAUUUUAAAACGAGCAAUUUGCUGAAUUGUCUGCUACGUAGGGGUAAUUUUUUUGAAGAUUGAAGCUUUUCAAGAAUUUUGUAGAAAGAUCACUUUGCUAAUACAAAUGCAUAAAACAGCAACAGAGAACAAUAUGAAUACAGUAGCGAUGAGUACACCAGGGUUAACAUUAAUCAUUCAGAGUGGCUAGAUAACUUUUGUAGGUUUUUUAGAAUAAAUGCAACAGAGGUCAAUAACCACAAAAUUUAAGGUUAGAGCAAGAUCAGUUAAUGACUAAACAUAUUUUAACAUCUUUUUAUAGGACUAUGACUAACUUUUAAAAUUUGCAAAUGGGCACAGUACUUGUAAGGAUGGAAGAAAGAGGACGAUAACAUGCAUAAUAUUAACUACACACUUCAAAAAUUAUGAACCAUGCAGAAGUUUAGCCGAAGUAGUACUAAUGUCUACAUCUGAUUCAAAAACCACUGAUUUCAUUGAUUCACGGAUGCAUGAAAUAAGAGCCCUCACCCAGAAGCAAGCCUGAUUUAUAAACUUGCCUACCUCAGACUGGUAAACGCUAUAAGUUUGCAGAUUCGGAGCAGCAUUUCAGAAAUACCAAAGAUAAAACUUGAAGGAUGAAAGCCAAGAAUAAGAGAGAAAGGGGAUGAAGACAAAACCGUGGAAAAAGCUUGAAAACUUGGAUUUUUCCAAGUUGAAAAAAGGUACAGAAGAAAAAGUGGCCUCAGCAAAUGGGCUGUCAGACUGGAACAAAAAAAAAACACAGGGCUUCCACUCCCGAAUACCAUUCAAUGGAAAUCUCUCCUGGAAAAAUACUUAUGGCCACUGGGUGCAAUCCAGGGGUCUUUGUUUUGAAUGUACACAAAACCUCUAGUGAGACAAUUAAGUUUCGUUGAGAUGCUGCAACCAAAUAGCCUUCUGAAAGAUAAAGGCUACUUCAGGAAGGACAGCCAUCAAUCAUGGUAAUAAACCCCACCAAGUGAGUCAACAUUAUUAGGUACAGCGAAGGGAAGAAACUGAUGAAAAAAGUAAAAACUGAAUAUUUACUAAGUUAGAAAAUA